UACGUAGGGUGCAAGCGUUAAUCGGAAUUACUGGGCGUAAAGCGUGCGCAGGCGGUUCGCUAAGACAGAUGUGAAAUCCCCGGGCUUAACCUGGGAACUGCAUUUGUGACUGCAUAGCUAGAGUACGGUAGAGGGGGAUGGAAUUCCGCGUGUAGCAGUGAAAUGCGUAGAUAUGCGGAGGAACACCGAUGGCGAAGGCAAUCCCCUGGACCUGUACUGACGCUCAUGCACGAAAGCGUGGGGAGCAAACAGG
rnacentral:rRNA from 1 species